AUUGAACGCUGGCGGCAGGCCUAACACAUGCAAGUCGAACGAGUGGCGGACGGGUGAGUAAUGUCUGGGAAACUGCCUGAUGGAGGGGGAUAACUACUGGAAACGGUAGCUAAUACCGCAUACCAUCGGAUGUGCCCAGUUGGGAUUAGCUAGUAGGGGGGGUAAAGGCUCACCAAGGCGACGAUCCCUAGCUGGUCUGAGAGGAUGACCAGCCACACUGGAACUUGGACAAGGCCCAGACUCCUACGGGAGGCAGCAGUGGGGAAUAUUGCACAAUGGACGCAAGCCUGAUGCAGCAAUGCGGCGUGGAUGAAGAAGGUCUUCGGGUUGUAAAGCACUGUCAGUGGGGAGGCGGUACCUGCAGAAGAAGCACCGGCUAACUCCGUGCCAGCAGCCGCGGUAAUAC
rnacentral:rRNA from 1 species